UAACGGACUGAGCCACCCAGGUGUCCCUCCCCUGUGCUGACUUCUAACUGCGUCAUGUCUUCACACGCGGCCCGCCUCUGCAGCCUUUGCUACUACCACCGCCGCUGCUGUGGGAGGGACCUGUGCUGAGCCCCUCUACACACACGGCACCGUGCGCAUUUCAGCCCUGGAUCUCUAUCCCCUCUCGCGGAGGCCGCCUGCUGCCCGCGCCCCCGGCCCUCACCCUGGCUCCGGCAUCUGCCCGCUGGGACCCACCGUGUCACGCCCACACGCCACGGAACAAAGGGCUCGCACACGUGGCAGAGCGGCACGUGCUGCCACGUGCUUCCUCUAGAGGCCCCCCCCUCCCCCCACCGCUCUCUCCCCUCCUCAAAGGGGCGAUUCCAAGUGUCCCCCUCACUGGCCGCUUCCCGACGCCCACCGCCCCCCUCCCCGCACACUUCCCGCCUCCUGUUGCGGGGCAACCGUGACAUCAUUUACCCUAAGCAACUUCAGAAGACAAGUGGGGGAGGGGAACAGCUACCUGUUACAAAUGACAAAUGGAUUAAUAACAUCCUUAACUUUCUAAAAAUCCCAUACGAUCGGAAAACCCUCCAAUUACCCAAUACGAAAUGGACAAAGUUAACAGUAUCCAAAAAAGAAACUACAAAUGGUUGAUAAACAUCUGGGAAAAGACUGAACUCCAUUUCUGAUGAAAUAAAUGAAGACCACAUGGCAUUUGUUUCAAGAUGGAGGUACCAUAAAAUCAACAAAUUUGACAAACCAUUCGAAUUCCAAAGGGCUUGGGCCGUUCCAAUUCAAGAAAUAAAGAAUUCCUAUACAAUAUGGAGAUAAUACUCCGCUAUAAACCAAAUGCAUUCUACGAUGUGUCUAUCUAUUCCACAGACCUUCUUGAUGAAAAAGCUACUUUCAGAGAAGCUGCUCACACAAAACGUGGGGAAAGAAAGCACGUCAACUACGUGCUGCUCAUUCUGGUGGAAGACAGAUAAAAUGUCCUAAUUUAUUCGUCCA